AGAGAAGUGGUGAUCCAGGCAGGAAGUGACAUAGCAAGGAGACUCAUAUUUAAGUAAGGAGAAACAGGAAGUGUCCCUUUUCCCCUCCGCUCUUCCUCCAGCAGCACAAUGUGAUCCACCAGCAAGGAAUGACACCAAUGGAAGGUGUCCAAUAAGAUAAGUCUUAUAAAAUAUAUAGAUUUAUGAUAAUUAAAACUGAGUUAACAGAUGAGAAUCCUAGUCAUUGGCCAAGCAGCAUUUGUACCUAAUAUAAGUCUGUGUAUUAUUUUGUCCAUCCACGUGGCAGGCAGAACACUGGCAGCUGGCAGAGACCUCCCACGUGGCGGUAGAACUAGGGUGUCUUUUGGCGGAAAGAUUUAUCAUAACACUGGACUCUGACUACUGGGUGAACCUUACACAAACCCCUUAGCUUUGUUCCUUCUUCAACUCUCAAGUGGCAUGUUGACUAGGAUGAUUCGUUCGGAGGCUCCUCCAGCCCUCAACAUUCUAAAUUGUCAAGCAGUUUAUACAUCCAACCCAGAAUCGGCAAGGGAAAUGCAACCACAGGUGAGGCGAAGAAAAACGUCUCAACGGCCAACGCAAGCAGCAAGCAGGGUAAAGAACAUUAUUGCAAUACUUGUCUCUUCACAACUUGCCUGA
rnacentral:lncRNA from 1 species